rnacentral:rRNA from 1 species
AAUCAACGCUGGCGGCGUGCCUAACACAUGCAAGUCGAACGAGAAAGUGGAGCAAUCCAUGAGUAAAGUGGCGCACGGGUGAGUAACACGUGACUAACCUACCUUUUAGUGGGGGAUAACCUAGGGAAACCUGGGCUAAUACCGCAUAAUACCUACGGGUCAAAGCAGCAAUGCGCUGAAAGAGGGGGUCGCGGCCGAUUAGCUAGUUGGCGGGGUAAUGGCCCACCAAGGCAGUGAUCGGUAUCCGGCCUGAGAGGGCGCACGGACACACUGGAACUGAAACACGGUCCAGACUCCUACGGGAGGCAGCAGUGGGGAAUUUUGCGCAAUGGGGGAAACCCUGACGCAGCAACGCCGCGUGGAGGAUGAAGUCCCUUGGGACGUAAACUCCUUUCGAUCGGGACGAUAAUGACGGUACCGGAAGAAGAAGCCCCGGCUAACUUCGUGCCAGCAGCCGCGGUAAUACGAGGGGGGCGAGCGUUGUUCGGAAUUAUUGGGCGUAAAGGGUGCGUAGGUGGUUCGGCAAGUCUUGUGUGAAAUCUCAGGCUCAACUUGAAGUCUG